rnacentral:misc_RNA from 1 species
ACACCUCAACUCUCAUGGCUUGCCAUGAUGAGCUUGGACUUUGGGGGUCUUGCUGGUGGAACUGCCGGCUCCUCUCAAAUGAAUCAGCUUGCCAGUGUUUGGUGGCGCCCCAGGUGUGAUAACUAUCUACGCUUGUGGUUUCCCAUCAGAUAACCUUCAGUGAUGGAGGUUCGCCGGGGCUUAUAAACGUCUCUCCUCGGUGAGGACAGAUUUUGACC